rnacentral:lncRNA from 1 species
GAUGGGAGCAUCCAGGGCCCACUGUCAGUUGGCGCCAUCCAGGACUGGUGCAGGCAGUGGACGGCCGAGCUGAGCAAGCUGGAGGAGAAGGUGGAUGUGUUAACGCUGGAAAAGGAGCAGCUUCAGGAGCAGCUGAGGCAGCGCCAGACACUGUCCUGCAGCUGUUGUGUCCUGUGAGGAUAUGAGGAGGAUGGGGGCUAAGACUUGGAACAAAACAUACCUGGGCCAUCUCCUCUCUCAGCAUUGCACACACAGGAGCCAUGUGGGUUCACCUCAGAGUGGGCACAGUAACAUAGCUAAUAAACAGCUCUUGGCACAUCCUCAA